rnacentral:piRNA from 1 species
UCUUGCUGGAGCCAUUUGUACCUAUG